AACGAACGCUGGCGGCAGGCUUAACACAUGCAAGUCGAACGCCCCGCAAGGGGAGUGGCAGACGGGUGAGUAACGCGUGGGAAUCUACCCAUCCCUACGGAACAACUCCGGGAAACUGGAGCUAAUACCGUAUACGCCCUUAGGGGGAAAGAUUUAUCGGGGAUGGAUGAGCCCGCGUUGGAUUAGCUAGUUGGUGGGGUAAAGGCCUACCAAGGCGACGAUCCAUAGCUGGUCUGAGAGGAUGAUCAGCCACAUUGGGACUGAGACACGGCCCAAACUCCUACGGGAGGCAGCAGUGGGGAAUAUUGGACAAUGGGCGCAAGCCUGAUCCAGCCAUGCCGCGUGAGUGAUGAAGGCCUUAGGGUUGUAAAGCUCUUUCACCGAUGAAGAUAAUGACGGUAGUCGGAGAAGAAGCCCCGGCUAACUUCGUGCCAGCCGCCGCAGUAACAC
rnacentral:rRNA from 1 species